UGAAAGACUUUUUGGUAGGAAACUCAUCUACUCUUCAGACGAAUAUCCUAACAGGGACAGUUAGACCAGCUUAUGUAAAAAUUUCUGUUUUGACAGCACUUGGUCACAACAGUUAAGAUUAGAGUCUUGCUGGGCACAUACAAGAAAAGAUAGAGCCACUGGUGGUGCCAGCUAUUCUUGAACAUGAAGAAAUAAGUGGCUUGACAAGUCAGAUAGCUAGUGGAAAGAGAGGAAGAGCUGUGUUGUCAUCAUGGGAUUCUGAGCCAUUUUUGGGUGUACAGAAGUCAUUGGAUGCACUCUUGCAGGAACUAAAUUAUAUCUAUAAAGUUAUGGGGAACCAUGGUGUUGACCCAGAACUUACUGUCCAGAUAUUUCAGCAGGUAUUCUACUUCAUCUGUGCCAUUUCAAUGAAUAAUC